rnacentral:rRNA from 1 species
UAGGCGUAAAUGAUGCGAGUUAAGUGUGGGGCAUCUACGAGAUGGCCCUGUGCUGUAGGGUAGCCGUUAAACUCGCUGCCUGGGGAGUACGGUCGCAAGGCUGAAACUUAAGGAAUUGGCGGGGGAGCACCACAACGGGUGGAGCUUGCGGUUUAAUUGGAUUCAACGCCGGAAAUCUUACCGGGACCGACAGCAACAUGAAGGCCAGGCUGAAGACUUUGCCGGAUUAGCUGAGAGGAGGUGCAUGGCGUAGUCGUGU